CAGUUUCCUUAGCUGGUUUUGUGACUGCGAGCAGAAAGACGAUGAUCUGCUUGACAUUCAUGAUGAGGUUGCAGAAUUAAUCAAGGAUGAUUUAUGGUCAAACCCACUUAUUUAUUUCAACAAUGAGGAGCUUGAUGAAGAGGAUGGCAACGAUGAAGCUGGUGAUGAGGUAAAUGAAGUUCCAUUUUUCUUGGAAAAAAUAGAGGUGAUUAACAAAA